CCUGGGCUUGGCAUGCCGCGAGUAGGAAACUGAAAGGGGACCGACCGGUUCAGUCCGGAAGCGGAACAGGUGCUGCAUGGCUGUCGUCAGCUCGUGCCGUGAGGUGUUGGGUUCAGUCCCGCAACGAGCGCAACCCUCGCCCUCUGUUGCCAUCGGGUCAAGCCGGGCACUCUGAGGGGACUGCCAGCGACAAGUUGGAGGAAGGAGAGGAUGACGUCAAGUCAUCAUGGCCCUUAUGCCCAGGGCCACACACGUGCAACAAUGGCCGGUACAGACGGAAGCGAGACCGAGAGGUGGAGCAAAUCCGAGAAAGCCGGUCCCAGUUCGGAUUGAGGUCUGCAACUCGACCUCAUGAAGUCGGAAUCGCUAGUAAUCGCGUAUCAGCACGACGCGGUGAAUACGUUCCCGGGCCUUGUACACACCGCCCGUCACACCACGAAAGUCUGUUGUACCUGAAGUCGGUGCCCCAACCGGAAACGGAGGGAGCCGCCCAAGGUAUGGCCGGUAAUUGGGGUGA
rnacentral:rRNA from 1 species